rnacentral:rRNA from 1 species
GACGAACGCUGGCGGCGUGCCUAAUACAUGCAAGUCGAACGCACUCUCGUUUGGAUUGAAGGAGCUUGCUCCUGAUUGAUAAACAUUUGAGUGAGUGGCGGACGGGUGAGUAACACGUGGGUAACCUGCCCUAAAGUGGGGGAUAACAUUUGGAAACAGAUGCUAAUACCGCAUAAAACCUAACACCGCAUGGUGUAGGGUUGAAAGAUGGUUUCGGCUAUCACUUUAGGAUGGACCCGCGGUGCAUUAGUUAGUUGGUGAGGUAAAGGCUCACCAAGACCGUGAUGCAUAGCCGACCUGAGAGGGUAAUCGGCCACACUGGGACUGAGACACGGCCCAGACUCCUACGGGAGGCAGCAGUAGGGAAUCUUCCACAAUGGACGAAAGUACUGAUGGAGCAACGCCGCGUGAGUGAAGAAGGUUUCGGAUCGUAAAACUCUGUUGUUGGUAGAAAAUGUAUCUGAUAGUAACUGA